GAUGAACGCUGGCGGCGUGCUUAACACAUGCAAGUCGAACGAAAAAGCCCAGCUUUCUUGGGGGGUUAGUGGCGAACACGUGAGUAUCACAUGAGUAACCUGCGCUUUACUCUUUGAUAUGCCUUGAGAACAGUGUCGAUUACUGGGUAUGACUUCUCAUCCCACGUGGUGGGGGGGGGAAAUUUUGCGGUUUUGGAUGGACUCGCGGCGUAUCAGCUUGUUGGUGUGGUAGUGGCUCACCAAGGCGCCGACGGGUAGCCGGCCUGAGAGGGUGACCGGCCACAUUGGGACUGAGAUACGGCCCAGACUCCUACGGGAGGCAGCAGUGGGGAAUAUUGCACAAUGGGCGGAAGCCUGAUGCAGCAACGCCGCGUGAGGGAUGACGGCCUUCGGGUUGUAAACCGCUUUCGCCUGUGAAGAAGCGUGAGUGACGGUAAUGGGUAAAGAAGCACCGGCUAACUACGUG
rnacentral:rRNA from 1 species